ACAUUCAGAGUUCUGCAGUCCAUUCAGAUCUGUAUAUUGAGCUUGUAUUCUUGCAUUUCUUAGUUUUGUCUUUGGAUACGGGGAGAAUUUUUCAUUAGGAACACAAUUUUGAUAGCCUGAGUCUAUCCUUGCAGUGAAAAAAAUCUAACUCUCUCAGCAGUUUUUCCCUCUGUCUGGGAAGACAGAAUAUAAAAUGGGCAUUUUCCAGGAUAAAUUUGAAAUGUUUUGUAAAUUUGAAAGGUAGUGCAGGUGUAUGGGGAAAGUCUUACAAAUGAUUAUCCAUUAAACACAACUCCAUAAAAAUGUUUACGUUUUGAACAAAACUCAUCAUCGCCUUCAGCUCUUGGUCUUAACAUCUCCACACAGUCAUGUAGAUAAUCAGCUGAUCUGCAGGAAGCCAAGUGUAGUUCUAACUUAAUUUUAUUCUGCUGAAAGUGUAGUGUGGUUGUUCUUACUGACUUAAAUGGUUGAAAUGUUUAAAUGUAACACUUCUGUAUCUAAUCACAUACUUGCAUACAAUCAGCUAUGAGUCUGUACACACAGGAAAGAGCUAGUCAUGCUUUUCUGCUCUGAUGCUGUGAAGGCUCUCCCUUGUGUGCAGAGAGGAAAGUUGAACUAAUGUAUUGUUUUUUUGAAUUGUGUGUAAAUAAAGCUGUAUUUGGUCUCAAACCACUAGGAA